rnacentral:rRNA from 1 species
GACGAACGCUGGCGGCGUGCUUAACACAUGCAAGUCGUACGGUAAGGCCCUUUCGGGGGUACACGAGUGGCGAACGGGUGAGUAACACGUGAGUAACCUGCCCACAACUUUGGGAUAACGCUAGGAAACUGGUGCUAAUACUGGAUAUGUGCUCCUGCUGCACGGUGGGGGUUGGAAAGCUCCGGCGGUUGUGGAUGGACUCGCGGCCUAUCAGCUUGUUGGUGGGGUAGUGGCCUACCAAGGCGGCGACGGGUAGCCGGCCUGCGGGGGUGACCGGCCACACUGGGACUGAGAUGCGGCCCAGACUCCUACGGGAGGCAGCAGUGGGGAAUAUUGCACGAUGGGCGCCAGCCUGAUGCAGCAACGCCGCGUGCGGGAUGACGGCCUUCGGGUUGUAAACCGAUUUCAGCAGGGACGAAGCUUUUUGUGACGGUACCUGCAGAAGAAGCACCGGCUAACUACGUG